rnacentral:rRNA from 1 species
ACGAACGCUGGCGGCGUGCUUAACACAUGCAAGUCGAACGGGCCUUGUCCCCUUUUUUUUGGGGGUGGGGUUAGUGGCGAACGGGUGAGUAACACGUGAGUAACCUGCCCCUCACUUCUGGAUAACCGCUUGAAAGGGUGGCUAAUACGGGGUGUUCUGGCCUGCUCGCAUGGGUGGGUUUGGAAAGAUUCGACCGGUUUUGGUUGUUUUGGUGGGGGAUGGGCUCGCGGCCUAUCAGCUUGUUGGUGGGGUGAUGGCCUGCCAAGGCUUUGACGGGUAGCCGGCCUGAGAGGGUGGGCGGUCACACUGGGACUGAGACACGGCCCAGACUCCUACGGGAGGCAGCAGUGGGGAAUAUUGCACAAUGGGCGCAAGCCUGAUGCAGCGACGCCGCGUGAGGGAUGGAGGCCUUCGGGUUGUGAACCUCUUUCGCCAGUGAAGAAGGUCCUGCUCUUUGUGGUGGGGUUGACGAUAGCUGGGUUAAUGAAGCGCCGGCUAACUACGUG